AGUUCCUCUGGUAGAUGCUGAGUUGGUUCCAUGCACCACAAAUGCUCUUGGAUGGGUCACAGGACCAGUGCCAGUCUCAGCUCUGCAGACAACACCUGAGCCCCUUACAUGGAGGGGGUCAUUUCUGCCCUUGCGGCUGUGUCUCUUUCGAUGGCCAGUGAGAACACAGGACGUGCUUUGCCAGAGAAGAGAAAUCAACAUUCCCCCGAUGAAUCACCAGCUACUACUAAGAAACAUCGAAAGACUGGGCCUCAAACGAAGGUCAUUAAUUCACAGUCCUGAAGGUAGUGAACCUUGUGGAAGGUUUACAACAUCCACAGGAGAGUUCCGAACUGUUUUGAGCAAGGAACACAUCCCUAGCCCAGGAUUCAAAUUUUCCGGGAUUUUCUCAACAAGUUUGAAGAUUCAGGCAAAAGCUGUCAUGAGACUUACAAAUUUAGCCUUUGGCAAAAUCUAUCAUGCUAUUAAUUCAAUUAACUGUAACUAGUAUUUGUAUUACCCAUUGAAUUACUGAUUUUUUGGAUGACUGUUUUGAUUGUUCAGAUAAAAGUGAAAAAAAAUACUCUUUGGCUUUUAUAUACUCAGGGGAAGUAAAGCGCCAAGAAAAGUCAUCAGACAGUUCAUGUCAAAAUAGGAUUUUAACCUGAAUUGUUUGCUUUCCCAUGGCUUACAACAGUGGAAACUGCAGCAAAUACCCACUUGAAUUAAUCUGUGGAACUUUGCUCUCAUCAAUGUGUAAUGUGGCAAAUAGAGUGUUUCCUUUCGUGA